rnacentral:rRNA from 1 species
ACGAACGCUGGCGGCGUGCUUAACACAUGCAAGUCGUACGGAAAGGCCCUGCUUUUGUGGGGUGCUUGAGUGGCGAACGGGUGAGUAACACGUGAGUAACCUGCCCUUGACUUUGGGAUAACUUCAGGAAACUGGGGCUAAUACCGGAUAGGAGCUCCUGCGGCCUGGUGGGGGUUGGAAAGUUUCGGCGGUUGGGGAUGGACUCGCGGCUUAUCAGCUUGUUGGUGGGGUAGUGGCUUACCAAGGCUUUGCCGGGUAGCCGGCCUGAGAGGGUGACCGGCCACAUUGGGACUGCGAUACGGCCCAGACUCCUACGGGGGGCAGCCGUGGGGAAUAUUGCACAAUGGGCGGAAGCCUGAUGCAGCAACGCCGCGUGCGGGAUGACGGCCUUCGGGUUGUAAACCGCUUUCGCCUGUGACGAAGCGUGAGUGACGGUAAUGGGUAAAGAAGCACCGGCUAACUACGUG